CCACCCAGUGUCGUAGGUUUGGAUUGCCUGGGGCUGUUUUCUAAUAUUACGCAUGCGCACCGUCCUUUUACCAUCUGGGGAGGCCUCAUUACACACGGACGCUCAGUGGGAGACUGAGUGCGGAGUCUCUGGGUGUUUAUGUGUGAGCUCUCUACUCCGGUCUCUUCAGUGCCCGGCCUUUCUCCUGUUGGUGGCAGAAAUGAGGCUCUUCGAUAUUGGCUACGCUCCGGGAUUGAAUUUUCCACUCUGUUCAAGACUGCAUUGGCUUGGCAAACGAAUGUUUUACUCAACAAUGCAAAAUGAAGAUCACUAGGUGUUGCCCCAACACAUGCAAAGAAAGACACAUCUUGGAGAUUAAGAAGUUCCCUGAGGAUGGGCUCCAGGAUGAGUCCAAAAACUUGAAAAGAACAAAUCUCUGGGCCUGAUGACUCAGAUUGGAUCCUGCAACAUUAUCCUGCGACACAUGAGAUUGCCUUCGUUUGCAAACAAAGUCAGUCUAGUGAGCAAGAAACAGGACAAUGUUAGGGUUCAUUGGUUUGGAACUUGUAUUGAAGAUUAAUAUUGAGCAUUAAUAGUAUAUGAACUAUAUAAAAUAAUGAGUUUCCUUAUGUAUGAGAAAAUGUAAAGGCAGGAUUCUAACUAAAGGUAUCACAAGAAAAAAUGAAAUGUUCCAUCUUCUUUCAAAAGAAAUGUAAUGCUUAAUUUCUUAAGUGUUCUAAUAUUUUUCAAGUUAAUUAACACGUUCCAAUGAUGUUAUUUCUGGUCAGUUACAACAUAUCAUUUCAACAUGUAUAAGUUGUGCUCUGGUAUAUAUUGUGUCGUAAUUGCAUUUGCCUUGUUCUCCCAGUUUGGAGUCAUUCUUUUGGAACACAUUGUUAUCCCUUUUAAUUUUAUUCAAUAAACUUGUUAUUCUCAGCAAACUCUCUCA